GCUAGUCUCUGAGAUUAAGCCAUGCAUGUCAGUGAAGCCUUACGGUGGAACGGCGAACGGCUCAGUAAUGUUGCGGUAAUUUGGUCUCUGUGUGUAAACUAACCACGGUAACCUGUGGCUAAAAGCGGAGAAUAAGGCGCAACCCUAUCAGCUUGUUGGUAGUGUAAAGGACUACCAAGGCCAUGACGGGUAACGGAAAUCAGGGUUUGAUU
rnacentral:rRNA from 1 species